rnacentral:rRNA from 1 species
UACGAAGGGGGCUAGCGUUGCUCGGAAUCACUGGGCGUAAAGCGCACGUAGGCGGCUUCUUAAGUCAGGGGUGAAAUCCUGGAGCUCAACUCCAGAACUGCCUUUGAUACUGAGGAGCUCGAGUCCGGGAGAGGAGAGUGGAAUUCCUGGUGUAGCGGUGAAAUGCGUAGAUAUCUGGAGGAACACCGGUGGCGAAGGCGGCAUCCUGGACCAACACUGACACUGAGGAGCGAAAGCCAGGGGAGCAAACGGG